rnacentral:lncRNA from 1 species
GUUACAGAGGAAGACAUGGAGGCCUAGAGAGGUUGGGGGCUUCGCUGGGGGUCACGUGGCACUUCCAGGUGGAAGCUGGAUACAAGAGUCUGGUCCAGGCCUGUUUCCACAAUCUCGUGAAACAACUCACUUUCUCAGAAGCCAAACAGCAUUUCAACUCUGUAUAUUUAACUCUCGACUAUGUUGCCAGCAAAGGUCCCAGAGGAAAGAGUAAGGCAUAUAGCCAGGGAGGAUGCAGCUACCACCCGCCUAGAUCAUAUUAUCUCAGAAAGAAGAAAGUCCCCUUGGCAGAAUUCAGACAUCUAGCAACAAUCCUGGCUGUAAACAUUUGUCGAAACAGUCAACAGGACAAAGAAAACGCUCCUGUGAGAACAGUAACCAGAUCUUAGGGCUCUGGUCUUUGAAGUUUGAAAUAUUUCCCCAGAACUGCCACAUUCUUCUUUCUCUCCCACCCCACUGGAAGAUCACGCAAAUCAAUUCCAAUUUCUCUAUUCCUCUACUCAUUAUGGAUUAAGAGAAGAAGAAAGCAAAAACGAGAAAAAGAGGAAGAGAGAAGACAAGAAGGGGAGGAAGCUCUGGAGAAUUAAAAUUUGGGUUGAGAAUAUAUGGUUAUUUUUAACUUUCUUAAGAGGGAAUAAACAAACAUAAACACA